rnacentral:tRNA from 1 species
GGGAGUAUAGUAUAACCUGGUAGUAUAGCUGGCUCCAGUUGCACGGGAAUGAUGAUAGGUAAAGGUCUGAAGAUUGUGAUGAUCAACUGGAAGACUGACCUGUGAAAUCCCGCCACCAGCCGUACACAAAAACACUUAGUGGCGGAUCAGAAGAUACCAGCCGGUCGGGGUUCAAAUCCCUGUGCUCCCA